rnacentral:rRNA from 1 species
UACGUAGGGUGCAAGCGUUGUCCGGAAUUAUUGGGCGUAAAGAGCUCGUAGGCGGUCUGUCACGUCGGAUGUGAAAUCCCGAGGCUCAACCUCGGGUCUGCAGUCGAUACGGGCAAACUAGAGUAUUGCAGGGGAGACUGGAAUUCCUGGUGUAGCGGUGAAAUGCGCAGAUAUCAGGAGGAACACCGGUGGCGAAGGCGGGUCUCUGGGCAAUAACUGACGCUGAGGAGCGAAAGCGUGGGGAGCGAACAGG